rnacentral:sRNA from 1 species
CUUCGACCAAGGUUCGACUCGAGCGAAACGAGAGAACGUUGCCGCAGGCAACGGCCCGAAGGGCGAGGCGCUUUAGCGCCGAGUAAUCCUUCCCCCACCACCA